rnacentral:rRNA from 1 species
AUUGAACGCUGGCGGCAUGCCUUACACAUGCAAGUCGAACGGUAACGGGCCUUCGGGUGCCGACGAGUGGCGAACGGGUGAGUAAUGCAUCGGAACGUACCUUUCAGUGGGGGAUAACGUAGCGAAAGUUACGCUAAUACCGCAUAUUCUGUGAGCAGGAAAGCAGGGGAUCGCAAGACCUUGCGCUGAUUGAGCGGCCGAUGUCAGAUUAGCUAGUUGGUGAGGUAAAGGCUCACCAAGGCGACGAUCUGUAGCGGGUCUGAGAGGAUGAUCCGCCACACUGGGACUGAGACACGGCCCAGACUCCUACGGGAGGCAGCAGUGGGGAAUUUUGGACAAUGGGGGCAACCCUGAUCCAGCCAUGCCGCGUGAGUGAAGAAGGCCUUCGGGUUGUAAAGCUCUUUCGGCCGGGAAGAAAUCGCACAGGCUAAUACCUUGUGUAGAUGACGGUACCGGAAUAAGAAGCACCGGCUAACUACGUGCCAGCAGCCGCCGCUG